rnacentral:rRNA from 1 species
AGGAUGAACGCUAGCGGCAGGCUUAACACAUGCAAGUCGAGGGGCAACGCGAGUAGCAAUACUUGGCGGCGACCGGCGCAAGGGUGCGUAACGCGUGAGCAACAUGCCCGUAUCAGGGGGAUAAUCCAGGGAAACUUGGUCUAAUACCCCAUAGUAAUUUUGUAAGGCAUCUUAUAAGAUUUAAAGCUUUGGUGGAUACGGAUUGGCUCGCGUGACAUUAGCUGGAUGGUAAGGUAACGGCUUACCAUGGCUAUGAUGUCUAGGGGUUCUGAGAGGAAGGUCCCCCACACUGGAACUGAGACACGGUCCAGACUCCUACGGGAGGCAGCAGUGAGGAAUAUUGGACAAUGGAUGGAAAUCUGAUCCAGCCAUGCCGCGUAGAAGGAAGAAGGUCCUAUGGAUUGUAAACUUCUUUUGUAUGGGAGCAAUAAGGCCUACGAGUAGGCUGAUGAGAGUACCAUACGAAUAAGCACCGGCUAACUCCGUGCCAGCCGCCGC